UACAGAGGGUGCAAACGUUGUUCGGAAUUACUGGGCGUAAAGCGUGUGUAGGCGGCCUCGUAGGUCGGAUGUGAAAGCUCUCGGCUCAACCGGGAAAGUGCAUUCGAAACCACAAGGCUUGAGUGUCGGAGAGGAAGGCGGAAUUGUCGGUGUAGAGGUGAAAUUCGUAGAUAUCGACAGGAACACCUGCGGCGAAAGCGGCCUCUGGACGAACACUGACGCUGAGACACGAAAGCGUGGGGAG
rnacentral:rRNA from 1 species